CUAGUACCCAUUCUACUAGAUACCUGACUCAGCCAAAUUUGUAUAGUAAUGAGUGAGGCAAAUUUCUACGCGGCCGCCAUUUGCAAAGGUGGCAAAAGCACAAUGGCGGCAUAUAAAAACAUUAAGUCUGUGCUGAGAGAAAUCGACUUUGAGAGCGUUUUUAUGAUGCUGUUCUACUGAAGUUGCAUUAAAAAUGGAUUUACAUUUCCUUGGUUGUGGUGUGGAUGUUCAUCGAAGUCGACUAGAUUCCUUGAAAUAAAACAAGCUUCGUAGAUUGCUGGCGAACACCAAUUUUGUUUUUGUGGAGGAUAUCUUUAUUAUAUCUCUUACCAUAGGUCGAAAGUCGUAAAUUGAUGUAUUUUUCAAUGAUCUGUUUGAUAAGCUGUGAUGAAUGUAGAUCUUCAGUUAUUGCUUCGUGAUCAACAUUAUGCUCGUUGAGUUCAGGAAACAAGCUCUUUUCUGCAAGCUCUUGGUUAAUAAGAUGAACCAUUAUAGUCUUCAAGUUUCUCCUGCUGGAAAUUUUUUGUUUUUUUGAACGAGUUUCAUGAAUGAGGACUUGAAAAGCUCUUUCAGAUGCAAAUAUUAUUUUGGUCACACCAUUAGAAGGGAGAACAAGACCACCACGAUUCUUCAAACUGAUUAAAGAUAAAGAUGUAGUAGUUUGGAAGUGUGAAUAAUUAUGAUCAUGAACAGAUGAUGAUUUUUUUGACUUAAGCAAAAGAGCUCUUGCACAUUCAGUACAGGUGAUUCUAUUGAUUAUCUUUUUUACAACAAACCCAGCAAUAUAUCCAAGUAUUGCUUUUUUGUAUGAUGACAGUGAACAUGAUUCUAAUCCAGAAACUAAACUACUGACAUAUUGUGUGUCCUUUGGUGUCAUCUCUUCUACUUCAAAGGCUGGAGCAUUUCUUUUAUUCCAUUUUAAUGAAAAAAUAGAACCUGCAGAUUCAUUUUCGAAAGUCAAACAGUUUGCAUGCUUGGAACCAAUGAUGGAAUUUCUUAAAAGAAUUUUUCGUAGACUGGA